rnacentral:rRNA from 1 species
UACGUAGGGACCGAGCGUUGUCCGGAAUCAUUGGGCGUAAAGAGUGUGUAGGCGGCCACUUAAGUCCUGCGUGAAAUCUUGCGGCUCAACCGCAAGCGGUCGUGGGAAACUGGGUGGCUAGAGUGCGGGAGAGGAGAGUGGAAUUCCUGGUGUAGCGGUGGAAUGCGCAGAUAUCAGGAAGAACACCCGUGGCGAAGGCGGCUCUCUGGAACGCAACUGACGCUGAGACGCGAAAGCGUGGGGAGCAAACAGG